rnacentral:tRNA from 1 species
GGCACCGUGGCUGAGUGGUAAAGCACUUAGCUUCUAAACCAGGGGUCCUGGGUUCAAAUCCUAGUGAAGACU